UCGUUGCUCUUCUUGUCAUUGUUCUUUUUCUUUUUUUUCUUCUUUUUCUUUGU
rnacentral:ribozyme from 13 species